AAUCAACGCUGGCGGCGUGCCUAACACAUGCAAGUCGAACGCGAAAGUCCCUUCGGGGGUGAGUAGAGUGGCGUCCGGGUGAGUAACGCGUGGGAAUCUGCCCUUGGGUUCGGAAUAACUCAGAGAAAUUUGAGCUAAUACCGGAUGAUGACGUAAGUCCAAAGAUUUAUCGCCCAAGGAUGAGCCCGCGUAAGAUUAGCUAGUUGGUGGGGUAACGGCCUACCAAGGCUAUGACGGGUAUCCGGCCUGAAAGGGUGAACGGACACACUGGAACUGAGACACGGUCCAGACUCCUACGGGAGGCAGCAGUGGGGAAUCUUGCACAAUGGGGGAAACCCUGAUGCAGCGACGCCGCGUGAGCGAUGAAGCCCUUCGGGUGUAAAGCUCUUUCGACGGGAACGAUAAUGACGGUACCCGGAGAAGAAGCUGCGGCUAACUACGUG
rnacentral:rRNA from 1 species